rnacentral:ncRNA from 2 species
UACGGAGUAGGAAAUAGAGCGUAAAGUGCUGACGGAACGCAAUGUGAACGUCGGACGAAGGGCUGGGACCCGCGAUUCUAUUUCCGCAUUGGCCGCA